rnacentral:lncRNA from 1 species
UAAGUAACAUCUUGAUGAGAAAGACCUAUUGAACUACUGAUAAGAUUUGUAGAAUCUAAUUAUUAAUUGUUGGGAGUUUAGCUAGAAUACUAUCGAUAGCAAACGAGUUCCAUUGUCACCCAUUUAUUUUAGAUAAUAGAACUUUCAAAUCGACGGUUGGUACAGUUGAACAUGAUCUGUAUCAAUUGAAGUGCUUAGAAAUCAAAUUUUAAAUCUUUUCGAUAUCAUUUGCCUAAUGAUCAAAGGGUUUCAAUUUUUUUUUUUUUUUUGAGAGAUAGGUAGCACGCUACCUGCUUCAUUUAUUUCAUUUAAAAAUAAACUUAGUUAGAAAUGUGAAUCAAUUAGGAUUCGAACUUGGGACCUCGGGUACUAACUGCCAACCACCAAGCUCUUUGCCACUUGGCGUUUUCUCGUUUAACGACGUAAAGAUAUCCAAACCAAUUGAUUUUUUGUUAGAAAAUUCUUUAAACAAUAUAAAAUAAGAUCUAUACUCUUGAUCUUGAUUACAAGACUCCUAUCAUCAUUUUUUUAAAAAAAAUAUUUAUUUUCAGUCGUUCAUUUUUGUGUUCGCUCAAUGGAUAAGAGAACAAUAUCGAAAAUGUAUGAAAUUUGAUUUCUAAACACUUCAAAUGAUAUAGAUUAUAUUCAAUAGUACCGAUUGUCGAUUUGGAGAUUCCAUCAUCGAAAAUAAAUCGGUGACAACGGAGUCCGUUUUCUAUCGAUUAUUCUAGCUCAACUCUAAUUGUUGGUAUUUGAGAUCCUAAAUUUUAUGUAAAAUUGAAAAAUAAUAAUCUUUUAUAAAAAAAGUUUAGUAGUAGUAGAAAAUUAAGUUUACAGUGUCUAACAUUUGGCUUGAAUAUGGUGGAAAUAAUUUAGCUUCGGUACGUGCUUUGUUUGGUUGAUUGAAAAGGUGGAUAAAAUUUUUUGUAUAAAAUAAUAUUAGAUAUUUUUAUAUUAGCUAGGUUGUAUAAAUAUUAAAAUUUGUUAUUAUUUCUCUUUUAUCAGAAGUUUACCUAUAAAAUAUAUUAUACUGUAUUUAUAUAUUAUAUGUAUAACAUAAUAUAAUAUAAUAUUUUAGGGAUAAUUUUAUAGAGCUUCCAAUAAACAUAUCGGAUAGAAGAUAUAUUCGUACAAAGUUAAAGUUUUUAAAUUUAUCCUUUCAAAGUCUAAUGAUGUUCAUAUUUACCCAUUUGACUUGUUACAGUUGACUCAGUGUUUAUUUUUUUAACAGAAUAUAAGUAAAAUAUCAAUUUUGCCAUCACAACUAUAUCCCUUCAAAAACCCCAACCGUUAGAAUCAUACAGAAAUGCCCUCCAAAAAUAUGUAAUGGUCAUCUUCUUUUUUUUAUAAAAGCUAACUCAACUCACUCAUUUUCUUCUUUAACUAUCUAAUAUUAAUUCCUCAGCGUUCAACAUGGGGCAAAGCAAUACAUGUCGUGAAUGAAUGGGGAUAGAGAAAUUCUAGUUAUAGAUUCAAAACUAGUUUCAUUGUUUUGAUUGAAAGAAAAAAAAUAUAAUCUCAAAAAGAGUUAAAAAAUUAAUUUACCUCACUU